GAGUUUGAUCCUGGCUCAGAACGAACGUUGGCGGCGUGGAUUAGGCAUGCAAGUCGAGCGGGAUUCUAAUUUUUCAAUUCUUCGGAAGAGAAGCUUUAGAUGAGAGCGGCGAACGAGUGAGUAAUACAUGGGUAAUUUGCCUCUAAGCUCGGGAUAGCUAUCGGAAACGAUAAGUAAUACCGAAUGUGAUCGUCCACCGCAUGGUGGACUGUUUAAAGGUGGGGAUUCUUCGGAACCUAUCACUUAGAGAUGAGCCCAUGCCCUAUCAGCUAGUUGGUGAGGUAACGGCUCACCAAGGCUUACGGGUAGCUGGUCUGAGAGGAUGAUCAGCCACACUGGGACUGAGACACUGCCCAGACUCCUACGGGAGGCUGCAGUCGAGAAUCAUUGUCAAUGCACGAAAGUGUGAACAUGCGACGCCGCGUGGAGGAAGACGGCCUUCGGGUUGUAAACUCCUGUCAGCAGGGAGUAAGGGUGGUCUGUUUAAUAUGCAGGCCAUUUGAUAGUACCUGCAAAGGAAGUCACGGCUAACUCUGUGCCAGCAGCCGCGGUAAUACAGAGGUGGCGAACGUUGUUCGGAUUUACUGGGCGUAAAGGGUCCGCAGGCGGUCUUGUGUGCCAGAUGUGAAAGCCCACGGCUUAACCGUGGAAUUGCAUUUGAAACUGCAAGACUAGAGUACUGGANGGGAGAAGGGAACACUUGGUGUAGCGGUGA
rnacentral:rRNA from 1 species